rnacentral:rRNA from 1 species
GAUGAACGCUGGCGGCGUGCCUAAUACAUGCAAGUCGAGCGAAUGAUGAGGAGCUUGCUCCUCUGAUUUAGCGGCGGACGGGUGAGUAACACGUGGGUAAUCUGCCUGUAAGACGGGGAUAACUCCGGGAAACCGGGGCUAAUACCGGACAACAAGAGAAGAAGCAUUUCUUCUUUUUGAAAGUCGGUUUUGGCUGACACUUACAGAUGAGCCCGCGGCGCAUUAGCUAGUUGGUGAGGUAACGGCUCACCAAGGCGACGAUGCGUAGCCGACAGGAGAGGGUGAUGCGCGACACUGGGACUGAGGCACGGCCCAGACUCCUACGGGAGGCAGCAGUAGGGAAUCUUCGGCAAUGGGCGAAAGCCUGACCGGGCAACGCCGCGUGAGCGAUGCAGGCCUUCGGGUCGUAAAGCUCUGUUGUUAGAGAAGAACAAGUACGAGAGUAACUGCUCGUACCUUGACGGUACCUAACCAGAAAGCCACGGCUAACUACGUGCCAGCAGCCGCCGUAACAC